CAUGUAGGCGGAUUAAUAAGUUUGAAGUGAAAUCCUAUAGCUUAACUAUAGAACUGCUUUGAAAACUGUUAAUCUAGAAUGUGGGAGAGGUAGAUGGAAUUUUUGGUGUAGGGGUAAAAUCCGUAGAGAUCAGAAGGAAUACCGAUUGCGAAGGCGAUCUACUGGAACAUUAUUGACGCUGAGAUGCGAAAGCGUGGGGAGCAAACA
rnacentral:rRNA from 1 species